CAAGUUCAACCGUGUUUCUAGCUAAUUCUCCAUCUCUCUGUUUUAGAUAAGAGUAAUUUUCAUCAAUUAAUUUGAUACUUGUGAUUUGAUGAGAAAGGCAAUGGGCCAGCAAUAUUUAUGAUGAAAUUGAUCGGCAUAUAGCAUUUGAGAGAGCUUUGAGGACAUGGGCCAAAUAGGUUGAAGAAAAUAUUGAUCCUGAUCGAACGAAAAUCUUCUUCAACAGCGUGGCUCCUCAACAUGUCUGAUUGUGUUCAUUGGUGUCUCCUGGGAGUGCGUGACGCAUGGAAUGAAUUAUAGUACACGUAUAUUGCUUUCCACUCUUGAGCGACAGCAGUUCCUUUUUCCUACUACAGGUUUUUUUUUCCUGUUAAUCUUCGUGUAAUGUACAAGUUGUGUUACGGAUUUAGUUCUAUUAGGAGAAGUAGAUUAGAAAUUGUCGAAAUCAACUUUGUUAUUACAAUUUAAUUUAGAAGAGCACAUUCAUGAUUUGUUUGACAGUUAAAAAGAGGCAAGCUUUCAAUUGAUUUCCGGAGGAAAGAGGACAUUUUUUCAAGUGCCCAACUCA